rnacentral:rRNA from 1 species
UACGGGGGGGGGCAAGCGUUGUUCGGAAUUACUGGGCGUAAAGGGCUCGUAGGCGGCCAACUAAGUCAGACGUGAAAUCCCUAGGCUCAACCUAGGAACUGCGUCUGAUACUGGAUGGCUUGAAUCCGGGAGAGGGAUGCAGAAUUCCAGGUGUAGCGGUGAAAUGCGUAGAUAUCUGGAGGAAUACCGGUGGCGAAGGCGGCAUCCUGGACCGGCAUUGACGCUGAGGAGCGAAAGCUAGGGGAGCAAACGGGG